UACGAAGGGGGCUAGCGUUGCUCGGAAUCACUGGGCGUAAAGCGCACGUAGGCGGAUUGUUAAGUCAGGGGUGAAAUCCUGGAGCUCAACUCCAGAACUGCCUUUGAUACUGGCGAUCUCGAGUCCGGGAGAGGUGAGUGGAACUGCGAGUGUAGAGGUGAAAUUCGUAGAUAUUCGCAAGAACACCAGUGGCGAAGGCGGCUCCACUGGCCCGGUACUGACGCUGAGGUGCGAAAGCGUGGGGAGCAAACA
rnacentral:rRNA from 1 species